rnacentral:rRNA from 1 species
GACGAACGCUGGCGGCGUGCUUAACACAUGCAAGUCGAACGGAAAGGCCCUGCUUUUGUGGGGUGCUCGAUUGGCGAACGGGUGAGUAACACGUGAGUAACCUGCCCUUGACUUUGGGAUAACUUCAGGAAACUGGGGCUAAUACCGGAUAGGAGCUCCUGCUGCAUGGUGGUGGUUGGAAAGUUUCGGCGGUUGGGGAUGGACUCGCGGCUUAUCCGCUUGUUGGUGGGGUAGUGGCUUACCAAGGCUUUGACGGGUAGCCGGCCUGAGAGGGUGACCGGCCACAUUGGGACUGAGAUACGGCCCAGACUCCUACGGGAGGCAGCAGUGGGGAAUAUUGCACAAUGGGCGGAAGCCUGAUGCAGCAACGCCGCGUGCGGGAUGACGGCCUUCGGGUUGUAAACCGCUUUCGCCUGUGACGAAGCGUGAGUGACGGUAAUGGGUAAAGAAGCACCGGCUAACUACGUG